UAUUCUGCCCCAUGGGGAAGGAUGAGAAGCUUCGACUAAGGUUCGACUCGAGCGAAGCGAGAGAACGUUGCCGCAGGCAACGGCCCGAAGGGCGAGGCGCUUUAGUGCCGAGUAAUCCUUCCCCCACCACCA
rnacentral:sRNA from 1 species